GGGGGAUAUUGCACAAUGGAGGAAACUCUGAUGCAGCAACGCCGCGUGAAGGAUGAAGGUCUUCGGAUUGUAAACUUUUGUACUUGGGGACGAUAAUGACGGUACCCAAGCAGCAAGCUCCGGCUAACUACGUGCCAGCAGCCGCGGUAAUACGUAGGGAGCAAGCGUUGUCCGGAUUUACUGGGUGUAAAGGGUGCGUAGGCGGCUAUGCAAGUCAGUUGUGAAAACUAUGGGCUCAACCCAUAGCCUGCAAUUGAAACUGCGUAGCUUGAGUGAAGUAGAGGUAGGUGGAAUUCCCGGUGUAGCGGUGAAAUGCGUAGAGAUCGGGAGGAACACCAGUGGCGAAGGCGACCUACUGGGCUUUAACUGACGCUGAGGCACGAAAGCAUGGGUAGCAAAC
rnacentral:rRNA from 1 species